rnacentral:rRNA from 1 species
AGCUCCAAUAUCGUAUAUUAAAGUUGUUGUGGUUAAAAAGCUCGUAGUUGGAUUUUGGUGGGUAGUGGUUGGUUUGAAUUGAUUCAACACAGACUUUUUUACCCAUGUGUUUUGCCAGAAUCCUACGGGCGAUCUUUACCGAUUGUCAGAUGGAACUGGCAGGUUUACUUUGAAAAAAUUAGAGUGCUCAAAGCAAGCUUACUGCUUGAAUAGUUGCGCAUGGAAUAAUAGAAUAGGAAGUCGUUUCUAUUUUGUUGGUUUUCGGAAAUCGACUUAAUGAUUAAUAGGGAUAGUCGGGGGCAUUCAUAUUCAAACAACAGAAGUGAAAUUCUUGGACCGUUUGAAGACGAACUAAGGCGCAAGCAUUUGCCAAGAAUGUUUUCA